GCUACGGGAGGCUGCAGUAGGGAAUAUUGCUCAAUGGGGGAAACCCUGAAGCAGCAACGCCGCGUGGAGGAUGAAGGUUUUCGGAUUGUAAACUCCUGUUGUUAGAGAAGAGAAUGACGGUAUCUAACGAAUAAGCACCGGCUAACUCCGGGCCAGCAGCCGCGGUAAUACGGAGGGGGCAAGCGUUACUCGGAACCACUGGGCGUAAAGAGCGCGUAGGCGGGAUAGCAAGUCAGAUGUGAACUCCUAUUGCUUAACCCUAGGACUGCAUUUGAAAAUGUUAUUCUAGAGUAUGGGAGAGGUAGGUGGAAUUCUUGGUGUAGGGGUCAAAUCCGUAGAGAUCAAGCGGACUACUCAUUGCGAAGGCGACCUGCUAGAACAUAACUGACGCUGAUGCGC
rnacentral:rRNA from 1 species